UCACACGCGCACACAAUUCCCACCACCACAACCACCACUAUCACCACCACCACCGUUGCUGCUGCUGCUGCUACUACCCCUUUUCGAUAUCCUUGCUACGUAGUAUUAUAGAGAGUGAGAGAAAGAGAAAGAGAGAGAGAGAGAAAGCAACCAUCCCCCGAACGCGACGCGAGAGGGAGUUCGAGUUCCUAGCUCCAGUCCCUCACGGUUGCAGUGCGUUCCCAAACACCCGUGAGACAACCUCGAACUUUCCCCCGACAAAACACAGAUAACACGGUUUGCGUGGAUAAUUUGUCUCUGGCUAGUAGCAGAGUUAAUUGAUCGGGGGAGAACAACAAAUUUGUUCGUAAAAUAAAAUAAGAAAAUAAUCCCGAUUGAAGUAUAGAAGAAGAGAAUUUAUAAUUGAACGAAGGUGAGAGAUCCAGUUUAGAAGUGUUCGUAGAUUGCGUUACUUGAUAUAAACGCACCCACGUACAUACGCACGCACGCACGCACGCGUUUGCCAGUAUAAAAAAAUAGUGACGUUCCUUUGAAAGACAAGAAAACGAGUUGAGAUGGGGUAAAA
rnacentral:misc_RNA from 1 species